GACGAACGCUGGCGGCGCGCCUAACACAUGCAAGUCGAACGAGCGAGAGAGAGCUUGCUUUCUCGAGCGAGUGGCGAACGGGUGAGUAACGCGUGAGGAACCUGCCUCAAAGAGGGGGACAACAGUUGGAAACGACUGCUAAUACCGCAUAAGCCCACGACCUGGCAUCGGGUUGAGGGAAAAGGAGCAAUCCGCUGUAAGAUGGGCUCGCGUCCGAUUAGAUAGUUGGCGGGGUAACGGCCCACCAAGUCGACGAUCGGUAGCCGGACUGAGAGGUUGAUCGGCCACAUUGGGACUGAGACACGGCCCAG
rnacentral:rRNA from 1 species